rnacentral:rRNA from 1 species
CAGUCGCCGCGGUAAUGCGAAGGGUGCAAGCGUUACUCGGAAUCACUGGGCGUAAAGGGAGCGUAGGCGGCGUGGUAAGUCAGAUGUGAAAUCCCGGGGCUCAACCCCGGAACUGCAUCCGAUACUGCCAUGCUUGAGGGUUGGAGAGGUGACUGGAAUUCUCGGUGUAGCAGUGAAAUGCGUGGAUAUCGAGAGGAACACUCGUGGCGAAGGCGAGUCACUGGACAACAUCUGACGCUGAGGCUCGAAGGCUAGGGUAGCGAAAGGGAUUAGAUACCCCUGUAGUCCCUGUCUCUUAUAC